GCGUCUACCACGCGGGCAUCAAAGCAAGACGGACGCUGAUUGGACCGCUUUGGAGCUCCUAGUUUUGUUUUGCUAGCUGUAGUUGGCUUUACAAACAGCAAGAGACCCGAAAGACGCAGAUUGGCCUUUUAAAGACGGUUAAGCAGUUAAAGGAUUAAGAGACAAAAAGAAGAAAAAUAACAUACCUUCCAUAUUUCCGGGUUCCCAAGAUGGCCACCAAACGUCACUUUCACAUCCAACUCCAUCGCAAUGUUGUCACUUCUGGCUCCAUCUCAAUGACAUCACAUCCGGUGUCCAGAAGAUAACGCCACCACUUCCAUCAUUACAGCACUUUCGGCUCCCUCUGAUGACGUCACUUCUGUCUCCCAGUCACGACGUCAUCUCCUGCCACAUCAUUUCCACCCGCUAUUUUGUUAUUGUAUAUAAAUGCUAUCAUUGUCAUUCACAAUUAUCAACUGCUGUAAAAAGUAUUUUGAUCGAUUAUUUGUGCCUUUUUUGCAUUCUUUGUCCAUUGGACAUUAUACGGGGAUGGUCCCCAAUUCUUUAACUUUGUGGAAGCUGUCUUAUUUAUUUCAUUACAAGUUUAUCUAAUAUACUGAGCAGAGCACUAGCCACACCUUUUACCAGCAGUUUGUUCCAACCUUAUCUUCUCAUUUCAGUUUCUUUUUGCUUUUUAGCACUAAUCAAGCAGCAGUCACUGGAUGGUAGGGAAAUGUGAAAUAAAAGACCAUUCUUGAUAAAGGCUUUUUACUUGAACAAUAUACUAUUAGCCAUUGUGAAAGACCUUUGUCAAGCAAGCUGCUAAUGAGCAUUUUUUGUGUUUUCUCUUGAUAUAUAUUCUGACUUUUCUUGCAUUUUUUUAUUUUCUCUUUGCUUCAGGUUUCCGGACACUGUCUGGUUCUUCUCAAGUUUAAAAUGCUUUUGUUGUUAUUUUUAUAACUUUUCAGUGUAUACUUCAUUGAUAAUUAAUUGAAUUUAAUGAUUGGCUUCCUCUAUUCCCAUUAAGUCCAGCUUGAUUAAAAUUGCAAGGUGUCAAAUAUGAGAGAAGUCGCCUAGGACAAAUUGAAGGCAAAAGGACUACAUUCUGUUAUUUGCUCUACGUUAAUGAUGAGGAAUGUUUUUUAGAGAGCAUAAAUGGUUUGUGCAUAUUUCACUUUGGGUUGGGUUAUACUGUAGAGGUUUAUAAAUGCAUAUAGCUUGACAAAGGAAUAACUUCCUUGUGUAAAUUGUUUUCAUUUUGUCAAUAAACAAGAACCAAGCCAUUUCUUUAUCAGCCAUUU